GGUGUUCAGGUCAUCUCGCAGUGAUGCUGCUCCACUCCAAGUCCAGAAAUGAGUACGGCAUUAUGGACAUGGCCCAUUGAGGGUGAAAGGCCCGUGGGGGUGGAGGCACAGAUAUGACGGCGUCACUCUGAGUAGACCUUGGAGUCGGGUUGUUUGUGAUUGCAGCCCAAAGUGGGUGGUAAACUCCAUCCAAGGCUAAAUACUUACACGAGUCCGAUAGCGAACAAGUACCGUGAGGGAAAGUUGAAAAGUACUUUGAAGAGAGAGUAAACAGUGCGUGAAACCGCUCAGAGGUAAACGGGUGGAGUUGAACUGCAAGCUCUGGGAAUUCAGCUGGUGAGCAUUGUUUGAGCUUGGGCAAAUUGGUUGAUCUUCGGAGUCUGCUUAGCCGCAGGCCCUUGCCUUCGGGCUGGGAUUCGCGAUACACUUAUCAAGUGUUGCGUGCUUCGUUGAUUAUCGAGCUAGCUUGCCAGUGCACUUUCUCAGAGUGGUCACCACGACCAGCGCUGCUGCCUGGCUGGUGCGGUUAAACCGGUUCGUCUUGGUGCAUAACCUUGGCGGAUCGGGAUGGCAGGUAGCCCGUUGGCUUGCGUGAUGGCUUUGCUGUCACGUCGGUUUUCGGGUGUAAUCCGCUGACUGUAUCAGUUCUGUGCAGUGCGUUGGAGACGGCGGCUGAUGGUUGAUUCAUGCGUGCUAAGUCCUUCGGCGGGUUCGUGUCCGGCUGUCUGUUGCUUGUUCAAGCAGGCCUGAUGGCGGCUCGGGUUCGUCUGUUGGGCGGCUGCGUGCGUUUGUCGAACCGGUGCCUACAGUCUGUGGUGUAGUGGUAGACGAUCCACCCGACCCGUCUUGAAACACGGACCAAGGAGAGUAACAUGUGCGCGAGUCAUUGGGCGUUACGAAACCCAAAGGCGCAGUGAAAGUAAAGGUUCGGCUUGUCCGGAUUGAGGUGAGAUCCUGUUGUUUCUCAUGCGCGGUACCACCAAGCAGCGAGCAGCAGGCGCAUCACCGGCCCGUCCCAUAACGUGAUUGUGAUUUUCGUAUGCC
rnacentral:rRNA from 1 species